rnacentral:rRNA from 1 species
UGGUCAAGUUAUUAAGGGUGCAGGGCGGAUGCCUUGGCACUAGGAGCCGAUGAAGGACGUGAUAAGCUGCGAUAAGCUUCGGGGAGUUGCACGUAAACUUUGAUCCGAAGAUUUCCGAAUGAGGAAACUCACUUAGAGUAAUGUCUAAGUAUCAUUAAGUGAAUACAUAGCUUAAUGAGGGGAACUCAGGGAACUGAAACAUCUAAGUACCUGAAGGAAGAGAAAGAAAUUCGAUUCCGUAAGUAGCGGCGAGCGAACGCGGAUUAGCCCAAACCAAUAAAGUUUUCUUUAUUGGGGUUGCGGACAUAUCAUAACGAAGAGGUAUCGUAAUUGAAGAGGUUUGGAAAGACCCACCACAGAAGGUAAUAGUCCUGUAUGUAAAACGAGAAGACUUUAGAUAUGAUCCAGAGUACCACGGGACACGUGAAACCC